AGAGUGAACGCUGGCGGUAGGCCUAACACAUGCAAGUCGAACGGCAGCACAGUGGUAGCAAUACCAUGGGUGGCGAGUGGCGGACGGGUGAGGAAUACAUCGGAAUCUACCUUUUCGUGGGGGAUAACGUAGGGAAACUUACGCUAAUACCGCAUACGCCCUUUGGGGGAAAGCCGGGGAUCGCAAGACCUGGCGCGGAUAGAUGAGCCGAUGUCGGAUUAGCUAGUUGGUGAGGUAAUGGCUCACCAAGGCGACGAUCCGUAGCUGGUCUGAGAGGAUGAUCAGCCACACUGGAACUGAGACACGGUCCAGACUCCUACGGGAGGCAGCAGUGGGAAUAUUGGACAAUGGGCGCAAGCCUGAUCCAGCCAUACCGCGUGGGUGAAGAAGGCCUUGGUUGUAAAGCCCUUUUGUGGAAAGAAAGCAAUCGGUUAAUACCGGUUGUUACUGACGGUACCCAAAGAAUAAGACACCGGCUAACUUCGUGCCAGCAGCCGA
rnacentral:rRNA from 1 species